rnacentral:lncRNA from 1 species
ACUCCUUCAAGACUGUUUGAAAAGCAUUCCAGGUGAAGCAGGUUGAGAGAAUGCCAAGAGUGUGCAAAGCUGUCAUCAAGACAAAGGGUGAACUUUGAAGAAUCUAAAAUAUAUUUAGAUUUGUUUAGCACUUUUUUGGAUACUACAUGAUUCCAUAUGUGUUAUUUCAUAAUUUUCAUGUCUUCACUAUUAUUCUACAACGUAGAAAAUAGUUUUAAAAAAUAAAUAAAAACUCUUGAAUGAGUAGGUGUGUCCAAAAUGUUUGACUUGUACAAUCCUGCAGUUCCUUAUAAUGAGAGAAAUAUAGUUGUUCACUGCAUUUCCCUUAUCUCCCAUUACAGUCAGGUACUAAAUGGAAUGGCACUGAGUUUGUAUACAGUUGAAGUCAGAAGUUUAUAUACACCUUCGCCAAAUACAUUUAAACUCAGUUUUUCACAAUUCCUGACAUUUAAUCCAAGUAAAAAUUCCCUGUCUUAGGUCAGUAAGGAUCACCACUUUAUUUUAAGAACGUGAAAUGUCAGAAUAAUAGUAGAGAAUGAUUUAUUUCAGCUUUCAUUUAUUUCAUCACACUCCCACUGGGUCAGAAGUUUACAUACACUCAAUUAGUAUUUGGUGGCAUUGCCUUUAAACUGUUUAACUUGGGUCAAACGUUUCGGGUAGCCUUCGACAAGCUUCCCACGACAAGUUGGGUGAAUUUUGGCCCAUUCCUCCUGACAGAGCUGGUGUAACUGGGUCAGGUUUGUUGGCCUCCUUGCUCGCACACACUUUUUCAGUUUUGCCCACUGAAUUUCUAUAGGGUUGAAGUCAGGGCUUUGUGAUGGCCACUCCAAUACCUUGACUUUGUUGUCCUUAAGCCAUUUUGCCACAACUUUGGAAGUAUGCUUGGGGUCAUUGUCCAUUUGGAAGACCCAUUUGCGACCAAGCUUUAACUUCCUGACUGAUGUCUUGAGAUGUUGCUUCAAUAUAUACACAUCAUUUUCCGUCCUCAUGAUGCCAUCUAUUUUGUGAAGUGCACCAAAGCCAUCCCCACAACAAGGUGCUGCCACCCCCGUGCUUCACGGUUGGGAUGGUGUUCUUUGGCUUGAAAGCCUCCCCAUUUUUCCUCCAAGCAUAACAAUGGU